CUUGCUGUUGUGCAAAGAUGAUGUUUCUGUGCUGUCUGUUUGUGUUAACAGUAACACAAGGUUUUGCACAGUCAAUAACACCAUUGCAGAACAAAGUACAUGCCACUGAGGGAGAGAAGAUCACUCUCUCAUGCAAAUAUGAUGGAAAUGCAGACAGUCUGCAAUGGUAUCGACAGUUUCCUGGAUCCAGGCCUGAAUUUCUACUCCUUGUCAUUGUGUCAUCUAAAUGGAGUGUAAUACAUGCGGACACCCCUAUCCAAGGACUGGAUGGCAAACUGGGAGAUAAUAAGCAUGUGGAUCUGGAGAUCUCCUCUGCUGCAGUAACAGACUCUGCUCUGUACUACUGUGCCUUGCAGCCCACAGUGACAGGAAACACAACAACACUGUGCAAAAACUUCUAUGAAAGUUUUAAUUACAUAAAGUGAAUAUUGGUCCACUUGUAAGGGCUCACACAAUGUGCAAGCUGAAUUCCACAGAAAGCUAUUGAAUGUUAUUUCAAAGGUCAGCUCAUUCCCAGCUCCUUGUAGUUUCAUUUAUUCAACACUUUGAAUAAUUUUAUUUUGCUUUAAGCUAUCAAUAAGACAAGUUGUUGACAAGAAUAAGUUGUUCUCUCAGCUCAACACAUUUCACUAUGUGUUAUUCCCACAGAAUUCCACAGAUUUCCCCCCACCCCCACAAAAAACAUUAUCACAGAAAAUGUGAAAAGACGGUUUCUAUAAAUAAGAAAACAUAGUCUCAUAGAAAAACAUUACUAUAACUUAAUUUUUGCAAACUGAGUUUUACAUAGCGCAUUAUAUAUUUUGCAGCAGUUUCCUGUUGAAAUUAACACUAGGUGCUACAAUAACUGUGCAAUGGCUGAUUAUGACUUUAUAAACAUUUAUUUUUUGCUAUAUUACUCACACUUUGCUGUGUUAUAUCCAAACACUUUUACUCUAACACAGAGGUUCUCAACAGGGGCGGUACC